GAUGGACGCUGACAGAAUGCUUAACACAUGCAAGUCUUUGGCGAAUCUGUGCUUGCACAGGCUAGCCAAGGCGGACGGGUGAGUAACGCGUAAAGAACUUGCCCUGCAGACAGGGAUAACAGACGGAAACGACUGAUAACACCUGAUACAGUUGCCGGCACGCAUGUGCCUGGUAAUGAAAAGAGAUGCUGCAGGAGAGCUUUGCGUCCUAUUAGCUUGUUGGUGAGGUGACGGCUCACCAAGGCGAUGAUAGGUAGCCGGCCUGAGAGGGUGAACGGCCACAAGGGGACUGAGAUACGGCCCUUACUCCUACGGGAGGCAGCAGUGGGGAAUAUUGGACAAUGGGGGCAACCCUGAUCCAGCAAUUCUGUGUGCACGAAGAAGGUUUUCGGAUUGUAAAGUGCUUUCAGCAGGGAAGAAGAAAGUGACGGUACCUGCAGAAGAAGCGACGGCUAAAUACGUG
rnacentral:rRNA from 1 species